rnacentral:tRNA from 1 species
GCCUUCGUAGUGUAGUGGUUAGCACGCUCAGCACGUAACCGAGAGGUCCGUGGUUCGAUUCCCGACGAAGUUG